CAUCACUGGAGACCGACACCAGCUUCCCUGGAGAAGGCCUAGUCAGGUUUGGCACAGAGGGUUCUUAAGCAGGACAGAGAUGGGGAAAGAAAC